GACUUGCUUUUUCUCGAAGUUUACUACAAUAUAUGAAUACAGAGUCAAUUUUUAGAUAGUGUUUUACAAACAACUAUAGUAUAUGAAUAUUAAAUUAUAUUGUAAGCACAAGUUAUAUUAUAGAGUGAAUGACCAGAUAAUUGGAUAUAUAUUUGAUAAACAAGUUAUAAAGAAAUGACCAAAUAACUGGAUGUAUAUUUGAUAAGUAAAUGCUUGAACAAAUAUCUGAAUAAAGAUUUAAGGUAAUGAUUAUAACCUCAGAUAGUUGACCAGAUAACUGAAUGAGGGAUUUGCGUAAAGUAGUCAACCUCUGUAUUUGACCAGAUAACUGGAAGAAGGAUCAUUUUCAAUUAAGUGUUGUUUAGUUGUUUUUAGAUGAAAGAUAAAAACUAAAGUUAACAAAGAACAACACAAGAGAAUUUAUACUGAUUCACACAAACAAGGGCUAAUCCAGUCCCGACCAACUGUCGGAAUUCACUAGUCUAAAGAUAAUGGCAAAACCUUAAAGUAUCAAGGAAACUUUUUAAAACUUCUCUAAGCUUUAAGGCUAACUUCGCUUAGGAACCAGUCUUUUACGGGUAGACUCACACCUUAGAGUAUCAAGAAACUCUUAAUAACCUCUCUAAACUUUAAGACUAACUUCGCUUAGGAACCAGUCUUUUACAGGUAAACUCACACCUUAGAGUAUCAAGAAACUCUUAAAAACCUAUAAAUCUUUCAAGGUAGAUCCGACUUAAGAGUUUUUCCGGAAACUCUAUAAAACCAAACUAGAGCUUUAUGGUUCAGCUCAAAAACCUUCUCUCACACUUUGGUACUAUUGAGACAACCCUCUCAACCAAAGUGGAUACACACAAGAGGUGAUUAGAGGAGUGGAAUAUUUAAGCAAAUAACACUUUUUACUUGUAGAGAAGAACAAGAAGAUUAGAAGAAGUUGAAGAGCUUUUGAAGCUUUUGGAAAGCUAAAACACUUGAGCACUUGGAAGCUUGGAGACAAAAACGUGAGAGCUCAAAUGUUGAGUGAAAACUCUUUGAUUGCUUA
rnacentral:lncRNA from 1 species